rnacentral:rRNA from 1 species
UACGUAGGGUGCAAGCGUUGUCCGGAAUUAUUGGGCGUAAAGAGCUCGUAGGCGGUUUGUUGUGUCGGCUGUGAAAACCCGGGGCUCAACCCCGGGCCUGCAGCCGAUACGGGCAGACUAGAGUUCGGCAGGGGAGACGUGGAAUUCCUGGUGUAGCGGUGAAAUGACGCAGAUAUCAGGAGGAACACCGGUGGCGAAGGCAGGUCUCUGGGCAUUAACUGACGCUGAGGAGCGAAAGCAUGGGGAGCGAACAGG